CACGUAGGGCGCAAGCCGUUGUCCGGAAUUAUUGGGCGUAAAGAGCUCGUAGGCGGUCUGUUGCGUCCGCUGUGAAAACUCGGGGCUUAACCCCGAGCCUGCAGUGGAUACGGGCAGACUAGAGGUAGGUAGGGGAGAAUGGAAUUCCCGGUGUAGCGGUGAAAUGUGUAGAGAUCGGGAGGAACACCGGUGGCGAAGGCGGGUCUCUGGGCAUCUCCUGACGCUGAGGCGCGAAAGCGUGGGGAGCAACGGGG
rnacentral:rRNA from 1 species